rnacentral:rRNA from 1 species
GAUCAUGGCUCAGGAUGAACGCUAGCUACAGGCUUAACACAUGCAAGUCGAGGGGCAGCAUGGUCUUAGCUUGCUAAGACUGAUGGCGACCGGCGCACGGGUGAGUAACGCGUAUCCAACCUGCCCACCACUUGGGGAUAACCUUGCGAAAGUAAGACUAAUACCCAAUGAUAUCUCUAGAAGACAUCUGAAAGAGAUUAAAGAUUCAUCGGUGAUGGAUGGGGA